UACGUAGGUGGCAAGCGUUGUCCGGAAUUAUUGGGCGUAAAGCGCGCGCAGGCGGUCCUUUAAGUCUGAUGUGAAAGCCCACGGCUCAACCGUGGAGGGUCAUUGGAAACUGGGGGACUUGAGUACAGAAGAGAAGAGUGGAAUUCCACGUGUAGCGGUGAAAUGCGUAGAGAUGUGGAGGAACACCAGUGGCGAAGGCGACUCUUGGUCUGUAACUGACGCUGAGGCGCGAAAGCGUGGGGAGCAAACAG
rnacentral:rRNA from 1 species